rnacentral:lncRNA from 1 species
GCUAGGCAAUUACAUGGGAGUUCUUUAUUUUACGAUAUUGAUAGAAAAGGUUUUACUCAAAUCGUCUUCCAGGAGAGGAACUCGGCAGCCACCUUACUUAUAAUAAGCUUAUCCUCCUCUUGAAACAGAUCAUCUGUCGUAUCGGCAUUGGGAGUCCCCGGAGUAGGGGUUUCAGGGAGACCGGAAACAGAGCACAACUACUGAAAGCACACCUCCUGGACCAAACGACCACCAUCUUUGGAUUCCGGCCGAAAAGCGUUCAACUGAAUAUCACCGAUCACGGAGCAUACGGUGCAAUGCCUCUGGACACAUUAUCUCGCGCACCAAACACCUCGUACCAUUAGAGGAAUCGAUUGAUCGGAUCGAAAUAACAUCUCCCAAACACACAUCAUUUUUGGCACGGUCGCACCAUUAACUUUGGUUUGACAGCCAAACCAAAGCCAUAGUCUUUCCACACCAAAACUUGAUUUCUUACACUCUGGCAGUGGACCAAGAAAGUGCUGGGUACAGACAUCAGUGAUAUACUUUCUGAGCGGCAACCGGUGGUUGCCGCUUUU